AUCUGGCUUCCCGUGACUUCUUCGCAGAUCUGUUUCACCUGUUUCCAGAAUGAGGUAUAUUGAUCCCAUUUACAUUCAAGGAUAUCACAUUUUACUUGUGCAUCAUAAUUUCAGGUGUUGCUACCUCGAUCCAGUCCUCCUUUCCUGGGAGUGGUGCGAUCUGU